rnacentral:sRNA from 1 species
AUUCUCAAAGCUAUGACGUUCAGCAAGGUAUGUGAUGGUUUUUAAGGAGCACGGGAAGAUCACAUUCUGCUGUAUUCCGGAUUAGUUUGAGUGAGUACAUGUGUGACAAGGACAGCCCAGUGUUCCUGUAUAUGUGACUGCAGAUAUCCUUAGCUAGUGUAACAAUGUUGAAAGUGAUGUGAGAAGGGGUAUGUUUCCCAAUGUGUAUCCGCCGGGGGCUGUAACUGUCAUGGUGUCACAGUGAGUUUACGUACUGGCGCCUGUGUGUGUCAAGAUAUGUGUGAGCCUGUGAGUCGUGGGUGCAUGUGUCGCCAUCAUUUCUCUGUUUGAAUGUGUAUGUGCAUGCACCACUGCAAUGUGCGCAUCUCUGUGAUUCUGGGUGUGGGUGUGGUGUGAAGGGGAAGAUGUGUGUCACUGUGUCUGUGGGGGUCCUGCCUCUAAGCCACCCCCAGCCUGCCCUCCUCCCCUGGUUCUGUGGCUCCCUCCCAGGCUGUGGCCCUGCCCCUUCCCUCUUCUCCCUCCCAAUCCAUCCACGCAGGGGGAGCUGGUGCUGCGCCCCCCCCCCACCCCUCCCCAUCCAGGCCCCAUAAAUAGCAGCAGAGCCGGAGCUGGAGCCGGCGCCAGCGGCUGGAGCAGCAAGGGAGUCAGGGCCAGGGCCAGAGAGCCGGAGAGAGGAGCCCCCGACCGAGAGCCCAGUGACAUGUCGGACCCUGAGAUGGGAUGGGUGCCUGAGCCCCCAACCAUGACGCUGGGGGCCUCUCGGGUGGAGCUGCGGGUGUCCUGCCAUGGCCUCCUGGACCGGGACACACUCACCAAACCUCACCCCUGCGUGCUGCUCAAGCUCUACUCUGAUGAGCAGUGGGUGGAGGUAGAGCGCACGGAGGUGCUUCGCUCCUGUUCCAGCCCUGUCUUCUCCCGGGUGCUGGCCCUUGAGUAUUUUUUUGAGGAGAAGCAGCCCCUGCAGUUCCACGUGUUCGAUGCCGAGGAUGGAGCCACCAGCCCCCGAAAUGAUACCUUCCUCGGCUCUACGGAGUGCACCUUGGGCCAGAUUGUGUCACAAACCAAGGUCACUAAGCCAUUACUGCUGAAGAAUGGGAAGACUGCGGGCAAGUCCACCAUCACGGUAGGCAAGAUCACCUGUACUCACCCUUGGUCCAGUUAUUCAAUGCCCCUGCAUGGACACCUAUGGUGACAUCAUGCCCAGGACCACCCCCACCUAAGGGAAAGGGGAUGGGGUGGCCCUUGUGGUAAGGAUAGGGGAGUCCUGCCACUUGUAUCCCCCUUGCAGAUCGUGGCCGAGGAGGUAUCAGGCACAAACGACUAUGUGCAACUCACCUUCAGAGCCUACAAGCUGGACAACAAGGAUCUGUUCAGCAAGUCUGACCCUUUCAUGGAAAUCUAUAAGACCAACGAGGACCAAAGUGAUCAGCUGGUCUGGAGAACUGAGGUGGUGAAGAACAACCUGAACCCCAGCUGGGAGCCGUUCCGCCUGUCCCUGCAUUCCCUAUGCAGCUGUGAUGUUCACCGACCUCUCAAGUUCCUGGUGUAUGACUAUGACUCCAGUGGGAAGCAUGACUUCAUCGGCGAGUUCACCAGCACUUUCCAGGAGAUGCAGGAAGGGACGGCAAACCCUGGGCAGGAGAUGCAGUGGGACUGUAUCAACCCCAAGUAUCGGGACAAGAAGAAGAAUUACAAGAGCUCAGGGACGGUAGUGCUGGCCCAGUGCACGGUGGAGAAGGUGCACACCUUCCUGGAUUACAUCAUGGGUGGCUGCCAGAUCAGCUUCACGGUGGCCAUCGACUUCACCGCCUCCAAUGGAGACCCGAGGAGCAGCCAGUCCCUGCACUGCCUCAGUCCCCGACAGCCCAACCACUACCUGCAGGCCCUGCGUGCAGUGGGAGGCAUCUGCCAGGACUAUGACAGGUAGGAGGGAGUGGGGUGGGAGGGAACAGGCAGGGAGGCCUUGCCCGACGGAUUCCACAGCUUUUUCUUCUCCCCAGUGAUAAGCGGUUCCCAGCUUUUGGCUUUGGGGCUCGAAUCCCCCCCAACUUCGAGGUGUCCCAUGACUUUGCUAUCAACUUUGACCCGGAAAAUCCUGAAUGUGAAGAGAUCUCAGGGGUCAUUGCCUCCUACCGUCGUUGCCUGCCCCAGAUCCAGCUCUACGGCCCCACCAACGUGGCCCCCAUCAUCAACCGUGUAGCUGAGCCCGCCCAGCGGGAGCAGAGCACCGGCCAAGCCACGAAGUACUCGGUGCUGCUGGUGCUCACUGACGGUGUGGUGAGCGACAUGGCCGAGACUCGCACUGCUAUCGUGCGUGCCUCCCGCCUGCCCAUGUCCAUCAUCAUCGUAGGCGUGGGCAAUGCUGACUUCUCUGACAUGCGGCUGCUGGAUGGCGACGACGGUCCCUUGCGCUGCCCCCGAGGGGUGCCUGCAGCCCGAGACAUUGUCCAGUUCGUGCCCUUCCGAGACUUCAAGGAUGCUGCCCCCUCUGCACUCGCCAAGUGUGUCCUGGCUGAGGUGCCACGGCAGGUGGUGGAGUACUACGCCAGCCAGGGCAUCAGCCCUGGGGCUCCCAGGCCCUGCACACUGGCUACGACUCCCAGCCCUAGCCCGUGACUGCCACCCUCCGGACCGACACUCCCUCAGCCUCUCAGUGCCUGUCCUGACCCUCGUGACUCCAGUGACCAACGCCUCCACCUCUUGGACCAGCUGUGCCCCCUGGGUUCUGGACGUGAGUGGUGGGCCCUGCUCCUAUCUCUCCAAACCCCAUACCCUUCAAUGCUGUGGCCCCUCAGUGACUUCCUUGGGUGAUCCUGACUUUCUAGCCAUUAAUAAAGAGAACUGCUCCUAGC